AUUUUGUUAAAAAACUAAACAUUUUGGUAAUUUUCCACUUGAAAUCCAGGUAAUCUCUUUUCCUAUCUGUUAUUGGGUUUUGGGCUUAUGUCCUUGUUUGUUUCAUCUUUUAAAAUGUGGGUUUUCUGUUUUUUGCAACUGUUUGAAGUAGUGAGAUGUCAUUUUCUAUUUUAAUAAUUCAUUUUCUCUCUCUGCAUGAAUUAAGGAGUAAACCUACAUUUUACUUGCUAACAAGAGUGAACCUUAAUUAUCGUACUUUGAUUCCCACUCUAACAAGGAAAUCCACUUAAUGCAGCCAGAUUUUGUAACAAGGGGUUUUUUGUUAUAAAUUCAAGGCCUCUUUACAGCAUAAUCACAACAUCCAAUCGAGACUGACAAUCUCGACAAUGAUCAAGCUGCAACACAAAUGGUUCAGGCUAAGAAGGACUCAAUCGAAAAUGUAUUCAGAGACACAGAGGUGAAACUGUGAGGUCUAUAGUCUCCAGUUUUUUUCUUAGCAUCGUUGAUAACUUCAGCAUGUUCAAACUCAAUUAAUCUCAUCACUGGUGUAAUACCCUCUCGCAUACCCGGACCUGAGAUUUUGAGGCCUGAGUCGAACUCUCAGAGUUGGGCCCCUAAUUUUUUUUUUUAUAUAUAUAAAAUAGCAAAGAACAUCCAAAAAUAUAUAGGAUUUUUAUGCAAAAUACUUAUUAUGCAAAUAGGAUUCCAAAACCUUGAUGGUUUAGUAAUCUUAAUUGUAUUAUAAAUCCUAUCUAUACAACAAAUAUCUUACCUGUUUGGCUGCUUCUAUUUAAUAUUUUGACUUUUUUAUGGGUACAAAUUUAAAGUAGUAAUUGAUGGUUUGGCCCCUCAUCAUGUGUAAUUGUUUUUGUUUUAGGAUAGUUGUCUUUAAUUCAUGUCAGAUUGCACAAAUUUAAAGUAGUAAUUGAUGGUUUAGCCCCUCAUCAAGUGUAAUUGUCUUUGUUUUAAGAUAGUUGUCUUUAAUUCAUGUCAGAUUGCACAGCCAAAAAACUACUAAAAAAAAAAAAAUUUAGACAACUAUAAAAAAAUAUUUUUGGGCCCCGAGUCCCAAGCCUCUUGUGUCUCUAUUCAAAAUCCGGGCCU
rnacentral:lncRNA from 1 species